AGUGUCUGGCAGCACUGUGUUCCUGUUAGAGCCACCAGCACAAGCACCAGACGAUGCUGAUCCAGGUGAAGGCCCCAGUGCAGCAGCAACAGCACAUGAUGGAGACGAUGAUGAGGAGGAGACCAUCUCUCUGGAUUCCAGAAGGCAUGAGGUAUCAUGUUAAGACUGUGAAAGUACUAUUUACUCUACAAUGGUGAGGAGUCCUCAUCAAAAUCAAAAAAUCUAAUUUCUUUUACAGGACCCAGAUGCUAUACAGUGGGAAAACCAGCCUGGCAACAUAGUGCGUAUUAAUAAAAGGACACCACAUCCUGCCAAAUUCCAGCUGCGCUAAUUGUAUUGUGUUCACAGAGCUCACAAGCUAUCAGAAAGUUGUAUGGCAACCACCUCCGGCGCCAAAUAGAACUGGCAGACAUAGACAUUCAGUACAAGAAGAAAAAGAUGGAAAAUCUUGCACUGGAGUCCGAAAUAAAAAAGAGGACAAUUAGGAAACUGGACCUUGAAAUAAAAAAACUUGAGAGGGAGCUCCAAGAAGAUGACACAGCUCAAAAUAAAAAUUAGGUAUAUUCUCGUAAAGUCAAGUGAGCCAUGACAUAUGAGCUCUUAUUGUGAGCACACAGGACGGUGGCAUCUUUCUAAG
rnacentral:lncRNA from 1 species